GUGGCAUCUUCGCCUUUGGCUAAGAUCAAGUGGUAUCUAUUUACUAGUUUAUUAUUCGACACGCCCCCUCAUCUUGGGGACCAUAUAUUAAAUUGAUUUUUUGGAACAGGGAGAUGGAAUAGGGGCUUCUGUUCGCCCACCCACGAUCGAAUCUGGUAUUGCAGUACUCCAGGAGCCGGUGCACUUUC